ensembl:lncRNA
UAGAAACAGAAAUUUACAUGCGUCCAUAUUUUCAAAUCUAUAUUUAGAAAGCUGCUACGCCACACUCCUUCUGUUCUGCUGGAAAUCAACUGGACCUGGGUGCUAAAUUAUUAAGAUUUUUCUUUUAGUGAGUUCCCCUUUAUCUUUCCAGUUAUCCUGAUGGCUUCUGAGGUUUAUUAACCUCCCUUCAUGCAUGGGCUUGACCAGGACACUGGAGCAUAUAACAGCCCCAUGGCAACUAAGUAACUAUCUUCCAUGCUUUGUCUUUGAUUGCAGCCAUGGAGACUGUCAUGUCCCCAUAUGAAAUCUUUCGCGUUUCCAACUCCAGCACCACACCAGGAAGGGACCUUUGAAGACUCUACCAGCUGUUUGCCCUGCCAUGACAGUGCGCUACCACCUGAGUGGGCCAGCUGCAGCAGUGCCGGGAAAGGGAAGGCAAAGGCAAUGGAAGCAGAAGUGGUGUCUAGAUGCCCAAGAUGCCCUUGUGCUGUGUGUUCUACAGACCCUCUCGGCACCAAAAAAGUCAAAGAAGGAAAGAAGAAAUUGUGGGACAGAUUACCCAAGAUCAUACAGCGAGUUCAUGGACUACAACCCAGGAAAGGAGUGAGUCGGUGGCUUCCCUAUGAGCUGUUAAUCCAAGGUAGGUCACAGUCGCAGUUCCAACCAUCCAGACUCGAUCAGCCUGAAGUCCUUUGCGGAUGGAGAUCUGGUUUCCCUGCUCCCAACAGUGCUGCUAAACAAGACUAGGGCUGGAUUUUCAAAACGGCCUAAGUGUUUUCUGAAUUUAUGCACCUGAUGAAGCCCGUUGAGGUUCACCUUUUCAGUGUGCUGGUUUAGGUGAAAACAACAGAGGAAACGGUGUUAAUCACUAACUCACUCUGAGUCAGUUCACUGGUGGUAAGCAGCUGAUUGAGAGGAAGGAUGGCUUUGUGGGAGGGGGCUAGCCUGGGUCUCAGGAGUUCCAGGUUCAACCAACCCUGGCUCUACCACAGGCUUCCUCUGUGACUGUGGGCAAGUCACUUAGGGUGGGAUCCACACAGAGACUUAGGCACUGUGUCACUCAGCAUGGUAUCAUCUAAAAAAUCCCAGGAACAGCGCUACGAUCCACAAAGCCUGAGUUAGGCAACUUGGCUCCCUAUACAAUGAAGGGGAGAGAGAGGUGCCUAAGAAUGGGAUCAACAAAAACCAGCAGGCUACACGGGGAGAUCCCUAAUCUAGCCAAUGGAAAUGCUGACCAGAGGGGUAUGUGCUAAGCCCUGCCCUCUCCCAGAGAGAGGCAUAUAAGUGCAGGAUGCAGAAGGUGCUUAGCUCUGCAAAGCCACCCGUGAACAGGGACCCACCGCCUGGAAUCACUCCUUGAGGGAAUGAGUUAAGUGCCUACCUCACUCCAAUCAAAAUGGGAAGAGGCCCUGCCCACCUUAUAACUUCUAGCACAGUGGUUAGUGCAUUGGCCUGGGAUGUGGGAGGCCCAGGUUCAAUUCCUCCUCUGCCAGAGGCUCUCAAACCUCUCAAGGGCAUGCUCCAGCCACUGGGCUAUGGGGUAUUCUGAUGUAGGGCUUCCUCACUCUCUCCUGUUGAAGCUGUUUCACUGAGGAUAAACACAGCCAUUGGGCCGGAGAGGGGAGAUGACUCUGUAAUCCAGUGGUUAAGGCUCCCAUGUGGGAGAGGUAUGACCCUGAUCUUGUCCCCCUGCUCCAACCUAAGAACAUAAGAAUGACCAUACUGGAUCAGACGAGUAGUCCAUCCA